UUACGGCCAUACCACCCUGAACAGGUCCAAUCUCGUCUGAUCUCGGAAGCUAAGCAGGGUGGGGCCUGGUUAGUACUUGGAUGGGAGACCGCCUGGGAAUACCAGGUGCUGUAAG
rnacentral:rRNA from 1 species